AUGGCUGGAGGGCUAUUGGACUUCUGGAAUGAGUGGGCGUCCCAGAUCGGGGUUCUCUUAAGCCUUUUCUUCUAGAUCGUACUCCAUAUCUUUGCCAACAUCCGUCGGCAUAAAGGCAUCUCAUAUUGGCUGAGGUUCCCCCUCUGGGUGGCGUACCAGCUGUCUGACUCCACUGCGACAUACGCCGCCGGCCAGCUCCUCUUCAGCGGGGCAACAAAAGACCACCACCUCAUUGCCUUCUGGGUGUCGUUCCUCCUGCUACACCUCGGCGACCCGGAUAACAUCACCGCCCACACCCUCGAGGAUAGCAAGCUCUGGGGGCUCCACUUGCUAAGCCUUCUGGUGCAGGUCCUGGGAGCUGGAUAUGUCCUUUACAGGCAUAUCAUCGGCAGCGGGACCUUGCUCAUGGUGGUUGCCUUCUUGAUAUCUGUUGUUGGUGUUGGAAAGUAUGCAAAGAGGACAUGGGCGCUCCGGUCCGCCAAGUUCAGCAACCUCUAGAGCUCUCUCAAGGUACGGACCCAUGACUUGCAUCACCAGCAAUUUUACACUGAGUAUCAAGAAAAUCAAAACUGUGAUCAAGACUGGUACAACGAUGGCGACCUAGUCCUACAGCAUGCUCACUCCUUGUUUCAUAUCUGCAAGCGUGGGAUAGUUGAUUGCGUGAUCGCAGUGGAUGACUCAGAUAGCGAGAAUGAGGUGGAUUCUCUAGACAUCAAAAAAAUCCAGGGCCUUUUGGAAGACCGGGAACAAAUGUGGAGGGUGAUGGAGAUGGAGCUCUCCCUCAUGUAUGAUAUCCUAUACACUAAGGCAAGUGCGGUCCACUCUUGGUUUGGCUACUGCAUCCGUGUCAUCGCACCGCUUGCCAUUGCCACCUCUCUUGUGUUGUUCUAG
rnacentral:rRNA from 1 species